rnacentral:tRNA from 1 species
GAGGGUAUAGCUCAGUGGUAGAGUGCAUGCCUAGCAUGCAUGAGGUCCUGCGUUCAAUCCCCAGUACUUCCA